AUGGUUCCACUUUUAUCCCACAUAACCUUUUUCUUUUCCUUUUAUCUAAAAAAAUCUAGAGUCGUUGAUCUAAGCGAUCCAACGGCUCCCCUUCCACCUCUCGUUUUAACUAACCUAUCCCACCCGAAACCCUAAUAAUUCUCAGCACAUAUCGACCGGCCUUUCUUUCCUCUUCCUCUCUCAUUUCUCUCUUUUUCUCAGACCCCAUAAAUCUCUGGAACCUUGCAGUAAUCCGUACAAGUUCAUACAAAAUCAACCCCAGUAUUAAUCAUGUCCCUCUUCCAACCGCGAAUGUCGCCGAUGUUUCCUUUUUUCGCACCUUAAUUUUAAUCCCAACCACCGAAACCCUAUAUCAAAGAAUGAAAGAACGAGAAUAUAAUCAUUUCACUUUGUGCUCGUUCAAAUCACUACAUGCAAUUUGUAGAUUCAUGAGAAUCUUGACAUUAUUAUGAUGAUUCUUGGUCCAGAGGUCAAACGCUGUAACCUCUGGGCAUUGGCUUUAACGGAUGGUCCAUUAGCUUGCAACGACCCAUUUCCUUCAUCAUCUAGAAAGGUAAAACCUCACUCCGUUUCCCCUCUAUUUUUCCUUUGUUUUUCCCCUUUGCUAUCAUCAGCGUUCAAUCGUCAUCUUACACUAAGUUUUUUCAAACUCAAAUGAACCCUAAAGGCUCCGAUGGCCCCUGUAAAUAGGGGCUUUAAUGCUCUCACCUAACAAGAAGAACUACCUAAGCGAACUUAAGUAAAUAUUAUAUGUUUAAAUACUCUGGAUUUCCUCUCUAAUUUCUUUUCUUUUCUUUUGCUUCUGCUUGAAUUCGACCACUGCAAGUUGAUUGUGAGAUUGGGUUCCUAAACGGCUAGUGAUCACCUCUACCUAGUUUUCUGCUCUGAAGAAGGUCAAUAAACCACUAACCCCUUCUUUAAUUGUUCAUGUGUUAGAUCUGCUUGUGUGAUAUUUUACUGUUAAUUACUUGCUCAUUUUUCUUCUUGAUGUUCAUCAGUAAAUAUGUGGCUCUUGUCGUGUUAUGCCACUUGUGUUGCUCUUUACCGAUAUUUCAUAUUUGCUGUUAUAUUUAUCUCCCAUGUUGUUGUUUACAUUAAUAUCUAACAGUGAUCGUUGAGUUUUAUUUCUUGUACUGAUAUCAUCGUUAGGCAUAUGUCUUGUCGAAUUGAAUUGAUAUUAUUGUGAGCUCAAUCCUGUUACUUCCUUAUGUUGAUUUGAGUUGAUUAAUUUUUUUGAUGGCAGCCAUGUUUAGCCUAUACUACUACCCUGCUGAUUGAUUGAUGCUCACUUAUCUUUAUACUUUUGCUCUUGGUUAUCAUACUGAUUAAGCUAAUGAAAUUAUGUUCCUAAUAUCUUAAAUGCCAUCUUGUUUAACAAGGUGAAGUCUUCAUCAAUAGGUUGUCUUGCUCAAAUGGUCUUCUUGCUUAUAGUAUUAUGCUGCUUGUGUUCAGUUAGUUAAAUGAAAUCCACCGAUGGCCUUGCCCACAUUAUCAUGUUGACUUGAUUAAGUGUCUUCAAUUAUUGGUCAUGUUAUGACACUAUGUCAUUUUGUUUAGUUAAGUCUAUAUGUGUUUACUAUGUUAAUAUGAAAUAAGGGGGGGGGGGGGAGGGGUACAUUUUAAAAUCAUGAUUGUAUGAUAAACUUUGGAGACCAAUAGGUGAUCCUGUUUACCUGAGUUGCAAUCAUAUGCUAAUUUUGUUUUGCAUUAUUUGUGCAUAGGUGCUUUCUUGUUGUCUCAUGAUUAUUUGAUGUCUAACAAGUUCUUCACUGAUAUAAUUUGAUUGUUGUCGAUUGUGAUGACUUAUAAGUUUUAAUUGAAUGUUGUAAAUAUGCAUUGGUAGAUAUCAUGCCGAUAGAAAUCACAUAAUGAGACUGAAAGUUGAACCUCUUACUCAUGCUAAAUUGUCCAUAUUGUCCUAACUAAUUGGUAUGACCCCUUGUGAAUUCUAAGUAAGGUGUUAACACGGGUUCUUAAUAUAGUAUAAGCCCAACCCCGGUGCUUAUUUUCAUGUUAUGGAAAUGACUGUUCUGAAAUGAUAUUCUACAACCUGCUUUAAUAAUAUAAACUUACCUUGAGAAGAUUCAAUUUGACUGGAUCUUUAAUGAAGCACUGAACCUCUGAUAAAGUUAGUAAUGUGUGCAUAUGUUUAUCUUUGUUAGUUGUUAAUGCCUUAAACCACUUAAGGUGACAUUCUUGUAUGAUGAAGUUGUUAGUAGCAUGGCAGGCCUGACUACAUGGGUGUAUAGUUGAAAAUAUGUGAUUAGUGGACCUUCCUUGAAUAUGUAUGUGUCUCUAAGAAUAUUCUGUAAGGUUGUGUUACAUGAAAUUAUUUAAAAUCAACCCUUGAACCUUUGAAUCAGUAAAAGGAUCAUGUGAACUUACAAGUACUGAUAGCAUGUGUCUAAUAAUGAUCACAGUUCUAAACUUUAACUUGUAAUGGUUCUUGGAUACUUAUGGCUUUGCCCUCCAGUGAUAACUGUAAUUCCUAAUAUGUUGUCUUAUGUUGUCAGUGUUUCUGCAUAAUCAAGUUUUUGGAGUAUGUUAUGAUGGUUUGAGACGCUAUAUUGAAUAUGCUACACUUCUGCUAGUUUAUGUUAAUUGUGUGAAUUGCCUGGGUACAUGUUUAGUUAAAUGUUAAGUUAAAAUCUCAUUUGUGUCUAAACCUCUUAAGAGAAGUAAGGUUCAGUACUUAAGGAUGAUUGAUGUGGGCUUGACUUUUUAGUUGAGGAACCCCUCCCCGGCACAAGUACUGCUCGUAAGUAAAUAUGGUUCACCCUAGGCCUAUGAAUAUCGACUUUCAUUGAUCUUCAUGGGAUUAGCAUAAACGAAAUUUAGCUUUACUAUAUUUCUUUAGAUCUUGUCCAUAUUUAUUAUAACUUUAUCUUACUUUACUUUUUUUUUGUAUAUACUAAUCCAUUCUCUCCCUUUUCUUUGCAUGAAUCAUUGGGCCUGCCGAGUUCAUUGAGAACUUAGGCCCAAGUUCAGGGAACUGGUCUGCUUCCUUGUCACCUGUUGUUGUCUGUUGCUGCUUUGAGUCUAGCUGGGUCUGAUUAUUUCGUCACCCCAACAUGAGAGUCCAUCUCCCUUCUUCUUCAUCUAAGGAAUUAUUAUUAUUGUCUUUGUCUUAUCCUUUGCGUAUCAUUAUGGAACUAAUGUUGUUAUUAGAUAUUAGUUCUUAGUUUACUUAUGUGAAUUAAUUACAGCCUUUAGGUAAACCAAACUAGUGAGGAAGAGAUAUAUAUGACCGAUAAGAUAACUUGCUUAACAAUCUCAACGUUUUCAGCAUGUGGACACUUUUAAAACUAAUGGUUCAGCAACAAUCUCUCUUUCAUUUACAUAUCUUUCAUGAUGAGUUUUGUUUGGUUUAGGCCUUUACAAGAUUAUAAUAACUUAAAAGCAAGAACACCCCUUUGAAUGUUUUGAAAACAAGUAACUUAGGCAACUAAAUAUCUGGACCGCUUCAAGAAAGAGAAGUAAGGGCGCCACACCUAGCACGAUCUCAUUUUACAAGAACAAAACCAAACACUCAUUUGGAAUUCUACCAAAGCAGUUUUUCGAAGACAAAUGAGGUACAACUAUUUUGAUAUAUACACUGACGCACUCUUUCUUAUUUUUACAAGACAUGUUACAAAGUUUUAAAACAAACAUUACUAUUUCUAAAGGAACUAUACCUUCAUUUCUUAAGACAAAGAAAUGAUCUUUCAAACAAGAAUCCAAAUAUUUUUCGUCAUUUAUUCAAGGCUUUCACAAGAGGCUCACUUAGCAAUUUUAAUCAACUAGGAUAUAAAUUUCUCUCCCCACACCUAUGCCUAAGUUUAAAGAGCUACCUCAUGUAGAUUUUAAGGAGUGCCUAACACCUUCCCCUUAAAAUAACUAAAACUCUUACCCGGAUCUCGCUGUUUAGUAGACAAUUAGGGCAAUAACUCUUUACAAAUAUAUAGGUACCCUAGUAUACCUUAAAAUAUUAGGUGGAAACUCUUCUUUUAUCAACUUCAAAGGAACCAUAAGUUGUAUUUUAUUUUAACUUGUGAAAAAUAGGGUGCAACAAUAAUAGUACGAGAUCAUGUCAGUUAUGGAGUAAGGGUAUUGUGGGUUAUCAUGUUAGUCAUGUCAGUUAAGGGUAUGUGUAUGGUGAGUUUAUUCUGUGAUAUGUUGGCUUUGAAACGACUUUUGGCACAUUCAAGAACUAAUGUAUGUUUAAUUAGAGGAGAAUGUAAUGACCCGAUAGGUCUUUUUGAGAAUUAGCAAUCCGUUCGGUGGUUUGAGGUCUUGAUUAGCUUCAUAUGAUGUAUUAUGAUUUGCGUGUAUGGUUGUUUUUGAUUUUUGGGAAGUUCGAGAUUGAUUCGGAAGAGUAAUUCUCAAUUUAUAAGCUUUAAGUUGGAAGAGUUGACCAAGUUUGACAUUGUAUAUUUGACCUUGGAUCAGUGUUUUGAUGGUUCAGUCAGGUCCGGAUGGUGAUUUUGGACUUGGAUGUAUGCUCGGGUUUGAGUUUCGAUGUUCCUAGAUGAUUUUGAGGCCAUUUAUCGAAAGUUGGAAGUUUGAAGGUUCGGAGAGUUGAUAGAUUUGACCUAUACAUAACUUUGUGGUUAUUGAUGUCAGUUUGGGAUUAAGCCCCUUAAAUAGGUUUGAAUGGUGAUUUAUGACUUGUGUGCAAAAUUUGGGGUCAAUCUGCGUUGUUUAGACGUGUUCAUCGUUAGUUUGGAAUCUGGUUUUGAUGUUAUUUUGAGGGAUUUGUGUCCUAGAGUAGAUCCGUAUUAUAUUUUGGGACUUGUUGUUAUGUUCGGACGGGGUCCCGAGGGGCUCGGCUGUGUUUAGGGGUAGUUUCGAACCAUUUCUCACCUAUCUUUGAUUGCUGGUUUUCUCUUAUUUUCUGGUGUUGUGUGCCUUCUUCCCGAUCGCGUGAGAAAGACUAUGAUCGCGAUGGGUAUGUUGGAGUUAGGUGGUGUUUCCUCUUCGCGUUUGCAAGUGGAGGAUAACGUUCGCGGAUGUUGAGUGGCUUGCCCAUCGUUCGUAAAGGGGGGGUUGUGAUCACGGUUCAGAGUGGGAGUUGGUGUAUUGUUUUCGCAUUUGUGUGGUCCAAGACGCAUUAACGAAGGUUUGGUCUCUUUGGUCAUUGCAUUUUCAUGGUCAGUGACCCGAACACAAAGUGUAUUUUUUGGCAGUAUUCAUCUUAGUGCUUCGCGAUCGCGAAGUAAUUCUCGCGAUUUUUACCACCUGGAUUGGGAUAAGUAUUUUUGACUUGAAUUUUAUUAUUAUGCAUGAUUCCAUCAUUGAUUUUAACAUUUGAUUGGUUAAUCUAAAUGUGAAAUUGGGGGGGUUUCGCAAAACGUUUCUAAAAUGAAUAAUUGAGAUUUGAACAUCGAUUCUGAGUCUGAUUUGGGUGAAAGUUAUAUGGUUAGACUCGUAUUCGAAUGAGUUUUUAGAAUUUGUGAGUUUUGUCGGGUUCCGUUGUGCGGUCUCGGGUUGAAUUUUUUGUUGACUUUGAGUAUUGGAUUAAACAUUUGACCUUUAUUGUUUGGGUUUGAUUCAUAUGGCAUUAUUUGGUGAUGAGUUAUUUUUGGCAAGAUUCAAGUUGUUCGGAGGUCGAUCCGCGCGGGAAGGCAUUUUUAUAGUAUGGAUUUGGCUUGUUUGAGGUAAGUAUCUUACCUAAACUUUGUUGAGGCACUAGUUACCCGAGUUAUUACUGAUAGCUACGUGUUAUGGGUGGUGCACAUAUGAGGGGGUCGAGCCCAUGUGCGUGUACCGGGCUGUUAUUCAUGCUCGAGGUAGUGCUUAGGCUAUGAUCUGCCUUGAAUUUAUUGCUGAGCCUCAUGCUAUUAUGUUUCUUAUGUUUGUACCCCUUUGUGAGCUAAUUGGAGCAUGUUAUAUUUUACAUAUAGGCUAAUUCCCUAAUUGAACAUGAUAACUGCUAUUUUUGUGAUGAAAAUGCCUUAUUUGAGCUAUGGUAGUGCACUUCGCACAGGCAUACACCUUUGCAUGUCACUUAUAUCAGUCCAUGAGUAUGUAAUUUAAUAUAAAUUGUUCAUGCACAUAUAUUCUUGUAUAUAUGUCUUUUGUGUCAUAUGGACUGGACUGACACAUGAGUAGUCCAUGCGGAUCUAAGUUAUUAUUAGCAUGUGAGUUGUCCGUGAGGUUGUUAUUUUUAGCACGUGAGUUGUCUGUGCGUUUGUAAUUAUUGGCACGUCACUUAUCCGUGUAGCGUUUGGAUAAGGAUCCAUCCCCUUAGGGUCACGCUCUCAUGUUUCUCUCUAGAUGGUGUACACGCAGGUUGUGAGAAACCAACAGAUUUCUGGUUGAUGUGGAUUUUUGUUAAGUUGAUCAUUGGUUGGACUUUGUAUCUCUUCUCUAUUUACAAACUCCUUGGACAUAUACUUUAUUUUUCUCCAUAUCUUCUCUAUAUGCGAUCUCCGAAAUUUAUACAUGCCUUUAUGCAUAUCUUCUCUAUAUGCUACAUUACUUGAUGCGAUGAGACACUGUACAUAUCUUCUCUAUAUGUGAAUCUGUGUGACUUGACUUGUGUAAUCACGCAUAUAUUCUCAAUAUACACUUGAUGAAGGAUAAAUUUCUAUUUCACGCAUAUCUUCCCUAUGUGCAAGUUUGACGAUUUAAUGAUAUUGGACGCAUAUCGUCUCUAUAUAUUGUUAAUUGAUUCAGGACUUCACACAAUAAUUCUUUGUGCUCCAAUGUGGUUUAAUCUGUGUUAUAUGAUUAGAUGGCACCAUUGCUAUGUACUUGUGAAAUUCAGGAAUGGAACAGGUUAUUAAUGAGUAUCAUUGACUAUUCUUGCCUCUAUCACCUCACCAAGGUUAGUUAUGAUACUUACUUGGUAUAUGCAGUCUGUUGUACUCAUACUACACUUCUGUAACAUGCAUGUAGAUCUUAGAGCCGAGUUGUUGUGGAUGACAGAAUCUGGCACUGAAGUUGUACGUGUUUUCCGGAUAUAGCUACCACUUUUCAUUNNNNNNNNNNNNNNNNNNNNNNNNNNNNNNNNNNNNNNNNNNNNNNNNNNNNNNNNNNNNNNNNNNNNNNNNNNNNNNNNNNNNNNNNNNNNNNNNNNNNNNNNNNNNNNNNNNNNNNNNNNNNNNNNNNNNNNNNNNNNNNNNNNNNNNNNNNNNNNNNNNNNNNNNNNNNNNNNNNNNNNNNNNNNNNNNNNNNNNNNNNNNNNNNNNNNNNNNNNNNNNNNNNNNNNNNNNNNNNNNNNNNNNNNNNNNNNNNNNNNNNNNNNNNNNNNNNUCUCNAUACAAGGUGCGACAGAAGGGAUGGAUAGUAAUGUUACAAAUACCAAGCUAAGAACUAAGCUUAGGAAACGUAAAGUGGGAACUGUGAGAGACAAGGUGAGGAUUGUAUUUGGUUCUAAGAGUGUCAUAAUAAAAAUUAUAUGAUGGCCAGAUUCCUAGAAUAAAAAUUCCUAAUGAAUGAACGUAUGGAAGCAUAAACGACUGGGUAUUCCUAAAGAUGUUGCCUACUAAAGGGGACAUGACAUACGAUAAGAAGGGCAAGCUUAGCCCGAGAUAUAUUGGGCCUUACAAAGUCAUUUGAUAGAUAGGAAGAGUAGCUUAUGAGCUUGGAUUGUAUCUAGAGUUGGAGUCAUUCCAUUAUCCAUGUUACGGAAGUGCAUUGGAGACCCUUCUCGCAUUGUCCCAGUAGAUGAUGUUCAGGUUAUAGAGGAACUAUCGUACGAGGAGAUUCCAGCGGUUAUUUUAGAUCGACAUAUCCGUAAGUUGAGGAACAAAAAGGUAGCCUCCAUGAAGGAAUUAUGGAGAAAUACGAUCGUCGAAAACGUGAUGUGGGAGGCCGCAGCGGAGAUUAAAUAUAAAUACCCCACCUAUUUCAAACUGAAGAUAUGGCUCGGGAUGGGAUAUUACAGCACAACCCGGUUCAAACUAGUAGGUCGACAGUGAGCUCUUAUUUUUGACUUGAAAUACUUAUGAUUGACGGUCGUGUGAGGCCAAGUGUUGCUAUUUAUAGACAUUGGCGUUGUGUGGCAUGUAUAGUAUUUUUUCUGGCUGUGUGUAAGUUGGUUUUAGUCCAGUGUAGAAAGGAGAUUGUGGCGUAAUAUUUGCAAGUCUCUAAUAGAUAACAUUCACGUACGAAUGUUCAUAAGAAGGUAAAGAUGUUACACCUCGUAUUUUCAUUUUUGGAAUGCAUCUUAAGUGAAUCAACAUAAGUCGAAGAGUUUAAGGACCUUUACAAAGAUAAUGAUUAGUUACAACAGGUGUUAAGGAAGUAUUGUGAGAGUUGGGGGCUAAACAAAUUAAAGAUAUUAUAACCCGUACUUUUGGGGUAAAACUAGGAGUGCUUAAUAUGCUAAAGAGGUCCUGUUAUAAGGUACUUUAAUCAUAUAAUAUUAAUAUAUUAUGUUUUGAAGUCAAACAAGUUGUAAAAUAAAAGUCGGCAAAAGUUAUUGCAUGUUACGUUCAUAAUUUUACUGCAAUUUGGGUCUAAUGUCACUGAACGUUUCUUCUAAUAUACUUGAUUUAGGAGGUGAUCCACUUACAAAUUUUAAUCUCUAUGAUUCUAGUUUCUAACUCAUUAAAUCGUUAAUCAAUGAGACAUCGGAGCAUAGAGAUAUUCGAUUUUUUGCAAGACUGCACAUAUUGCAUAGGUGACAAGUAGGUAUGUCACCUACUUGCUUAAAUGAAAGGACCAAGUAAAUCCCCAAAAGGGGCUGGUUGGGGUCGUCCAAAGGUACCUUUUAAGGGAUGAUUUCCUUAAUAUAUUCUACUCAUUUUGGAGCCAAAAAUAAGAGAAUAAACCCCUUGAAACUUCUCCCUAAAGUUCCACACAAAACCCUAAGUUAUUUUCUAUUCUUAUCAGAUUCUAGUUGGAGGAAAACAUACUAGUUGAAGAACCCAACUUACAAGUUGAUCUCUCACCAAAUCAGGUAAGUAUACUACCCUCUUUCAUCCCCUUUUUUCUGCUAGAAUGGUAGAGAGAUUCGUUCCAUAACAGUAAGAACUCACGGAACGACGAUCGAAAGCCGUGAAUUCGAGUUGUUCAACUUGCAGUGGACUGUUUGGGACUGUUUAGGGAGUUGUUUCGUGUUUUUGUUGAUUUGUAUAUUUUGGUACUACUUUUGUGGAGUAUGAGAGGAUAAAAUGUGUGGAGAAACACCACAUAAUUGUGGGGGAGGUGGGCUGGUUGUUUGUCGUUACAUUUUAGGGUUGUUUGACACUAGUGUGGUUGUUGUUUUGUGUAUGAAGUGAUUGGGGUGUGUUGGGCUAUUUUGUGAUAUUUUUUGAUGGAUAUAAAGUGGAAGAUGAUGAAUAUAUGUUGUUAUAGUUGUUAUUAAUGUUAUCUCGAAUUGGGAGGAAGUAAAGGUUAUAAGAGAGAUGCUGCCCAUUUUACUAUAAAAUAAGCUUGUCAUUCGUUGUGCAAUAGUUGUGUCCUACAUAAAUUAAUGAUAGAAUUAUCCUUGUUAUUGAAGAUUAAGGUGAGACGACACGAGAUCAAUGUGAAAAUUGGACAGAUUGUGAUAAGACACGUAAUAGCUAUCGCUUUUGACCCAUUUUGGCAUGAAUCCCCCUUAACGACAAUUUCUCCAAAGAAAAGCUUAACGAAAUGUCUCGUUGUAGAUACUCCACUCAUAUAUAAUCUAGGUUUUUAUGUUUACCUUUGAGGUUGUUCUUUUGGUUUAUAUAUUUAUGUCUCCAUUCACGUUGGAGAUAAAUUUAUUGGAAGUAACAUCCAUAAUGUUGUUCAGCAAGCUAACGACUUUACGUCAUUCUGAUUAUUUUGUCACUAGACUAUUUUGUCACUAGACUGAGUAAUGAACUCAAAGUUAUUCUUAUGUAAUACAUAUAUAUAUACACACACAUAUACCACUGUAGUUGGAGAUGUUAGUACAUUAUAUAUACCACUGCAGUUGGGCAUGUUAUUAAAUUAUAUCUAUACCACUGUAGUCGGGGAUAUUAUUAUUAUUAUUAUUAUUACAUAUAAAUAGUUACAGUUGGGGAUGUUGCUAUUGUAUGUACGUAUAUAUAUAUAUAUAUAUAUAUAUAUAUAUAUAUAUAUAUAUAUGUAUGUGUGUGUGUGUGUGUGUGUUUUGGGCUUUCCACCUAUCAUGUUGUUGCGUCUUUCAUGUCUUCAUAUUGUUGUAUCAUGUGGCCUUGUCAGCCCUAAAUGUUCGUAUGUCUUGGUUAUGUGAUUUUAGGUUGGUACGCUCGGCCAAGUGAGGCACCGGGUGCCGGUUUCGCCUCCCCAGGUUUGGGGCAUGACAGAUGGCGCGCCUAACGCUGCUUUCUAGGAAAGCCAACACACAAUGAUAAAUACAAAAGGAAAUGAAACUAUCGAUUAGCAGUAAAAUAAUAACGUAGAGUAAAAAUAACUCAGCAGCAUACAUAAUAAAUCUAAAUAUCAACAAUUACGAUUCAACCAUCCCAAGACGUAGAGUCACGAGUACAUGAGCUACUAGAGUUUACUAAAUACAUUGUCUUGAAAGAAAUACAAUAUUGUCAGGUAAAUAUAAACAGUAUGGAGGACAUGUAAAGAUGACUCUAAGGCAUGCGAACGAUAUGCAACUCUACCUUGAGUCGCCUAUCUGGUAUCCGCUAAGCACCUCUCGGAAUUUCGCUAGCACCAAUGUCUGAAUUUGCAUAAGAAGUGCAGAAGUGUAGUAUGAGUACAACCGAUACAAUGUACUCCAUAAGUAUCGAGCCUAACCCCAACGAGGUAGUGACGACGCUAUGACGGGACACCUAAAUAUAAACCCGUGCAGUUAUGUAACGAGAAAUAAUGAUAUGACAAGUAAAUAUCAAGCAAGAUGACAAAAUAACAACAUGCGAGUGAAUAACCAAGUAUGUAAGCACAAAGAUACAGAACGAGGAAUUAAAGGAAGGUACUAUUGAAGUAAACCAUAACUUAUGCUUCUACAAACAACUCUGAACAAACCUUUCAAAGACACUUACGAAGCAACAUAUCCAAGUCCUCAGUCUGAAUAGCAAAAUAAAGAACAACAAUACUGUCACGACCCCAAUUUUCCACCUUAGGAUAUCGUGAUGGCACCUAGUCGCUAAGACUAGGUAAGCCUAACAUGCAUAGAGAAGUAGCGGAAAUAAUAAUAAAACCUCAAGUUUAAACCAUUACACUAUCAUAAUAAAUUUCAACAUCGCAACUGACAAAUAACUCUCAAAAUCUGGUGGAACUGAGUCAUAAGCUCUACAGAAUAUUCUAAAACGUCUACUACAACACUAUCUAAUAAAAGAAACAAUAGUAAUGAGAAGAUAACGGAAGCUGAUUCCGAGGCCUACAAAUGCCGGGCGAGUAUACCUUGAAGUGUCCUGAAAGCAACUAACCAAUCAAUCUCUAAUGUCCAGCACGGGCAGGUGUAUCUGGAUAUGCACAAAAGAUGUGCAGAAGCGUAGUAUGAGUACACCACAACGGUACCCAGUAAGAAUCAAAACUAAACUCGGUAGAGUAGUGACGAGGCCAGGUCAAGACACCUACCAGGACAAGAUAAGCGGAGUAAAAUUAUUACAACGGGAAGUAAUGGAAUGGGGAGAAAUUAAUGAUAACAAAGCAGUUUAGUAAUGUAAACUAAUGACAGAGUUGUAAGAAACCAGACAACAAGAAGGAAGCAAAUAAUGAGAACCACAAAGAAUCAAUUAUGGAUAAAACUGGUAAGAUAAGGAAAAAUAAAAGCAACAAGAAUUGUUCAACAAAUAACUCCUUUCAAUAUGAAAUGCACAACAAGACUCACAACAAAGUACUGCAUCAUAUUGACAUUUCACAAUUUCAAUCACUAUUUUUCCUUAUAUCACCGCGUGAGCCUUACAUUUAGUUUUCAAAAUCAUUUUUCCCAAAAUAGCUACACGCGUUUUAGUCCACCUUAUCACACCGCGUGGCUUCAAGUAGUUCCCCUACUAGCAUCACGCGUAUCAAGCCCGCCUUAUCUCACCGCAUGCGUAUCAACCCCUAGACUUAUACCACUACAUGGGUAUCAAUUUCACUACAUAAUCACAACUCGCACCACAAGUGUCCAUAUGCCACAACUUGCAAAAUGAAUCAACAAUACCACUGUUUCCUCAACAAAUAACCCAUGGCUCAACCACAAUAUGGACAAGAAUCUCAACAAUAGCAAAAUGAAUGUCAAUUGCUCCACAAGAAAGAUAUUUCAACAAUUAACAACUUCACCUCAAUGUAAUAACGACUUUUAUAAUUUCAACACCAAUAACUCAACAAGAAGAUAUUCUAUGAAAUAACAACUUCAAGUAAACGUAAUUCAACAAUUUAAGAGGUAAUAAGACAAUAAGGAAGGCAAUAACAACAACUAAAGCAUAUAAGAGCAAAUAACAAAUAAGAGGUAGAACUAGUGUUAACAAGGUAAAAUAGGGCAUGAAAGGGUAGGUUAACACAUGUAAGAGUAGAUUAACAAUGAAGGAUAUAACAUGUUAUGACAAUUUAAUUAAAUGAAUUAAAAGAGUAUAAAUAACCUAAACCGGUCAAUUACCACAUAUAGCCCGCGUACCCACUCGUCACCUUGCGUACACGGCUUUCACAUAAUAAAAAUUGCACAAACAACCCAAAUCUUAAGGGUUAGUUCCCCACACAACGUUAGGCAAGAUACUUACCUCAACUAGGCCAACUCAACCAUCGAAAAUAGCUUUUCCCCUAAAUUGCUCCUCCACACGGCUCAAAUCUAACCAAAAGUGACUUAAUAUCAUCAAACAAUGCAAAGGAAAAUAAUUACAAUAAAUAAAGCUUUGAUCUUUACAAAAUUUCCAAAAAGUCAACAAAAGUUAACCCCGGGCCCGCCCAGUCAAAACCCGUGUCCAAGGGUAGAUUUUUCCUACCCAUAACUCCACGAGUCCAUAUAUGUGUUUUCCUUCAAAAUUUGAGUCCAAAUCGACUCUCAAAACUCAAAUUCUCACUUUUCAAAACUUAGGCAAAAUUUCUCAAGUUUUUACUUUGAUUCACAUAAAUAUGAUGUUAAAUAUAACAUAUAAUCAUGAAAUAUAGGUGGUAAUAGAGUAGAAUCACUUACCCAAUAUUUGUAAAUGAAAACCCCUCUCCAAAUCGACUCUUACCGCAUCUAGGGUUCUAAAAUAUGAAAAUGAGACUAAAAUCCCGACUUUCUAACCUUUUGUUCAGUUGCAAGUGUCACAAUUUCUAACCUUAUGUGGGAAGUCACAAAUGCAACAUGGGUUUCACAAUUUCGAAGCCUACUUCCCUCGCAAAAGCGACAAAAAUCUCACAAAUGCAAAACUACCAAAACCUAGGUCAACUUCGCAAUUGCGACCCAAGCAUCACAAUUACGAUACCUAUGAUCCCCCUUCUAAGGUCGCAUUUAUGAUUCUAGUGUUUGCAAUUGCGACACCAGAGGCAUCAGCGUACCAGCAGUUUAGAUUCAGUCAAAAACCAUUCUGAAACUCAUCCGAGUCAUCGAGACUCCAAACCAAACGCCCACACAAGUCUAAAAAUAAGAUACGGACUGGCUUGCCCGAUCAAACCACAAAAAUAACAUCUACAACUACGAAUCGGAGACCAAAACUCAUAAAUUUCAAAGUAAAGUUCAAGAACCUCUAGAAUUGCAAACAAGUGUCUGAAUCCUAUCAAAUCAACUCCACAUGACACCAAAUUUUGCAGAAAAGUUCUAAAUAACAUAAUAGACCUAUUUCAAGUCCCAAAACAAAAUUCCAAACCGAAUAGCCAAAAGUCAACCUAUGGUCAAACUUCUAAACCUCAAAUUGUUAAUAUUCGGCAUAACAACAAAAAUUAACCUACGGACUUCCGAAUUCGGUUUCGGACAUACGCCCAAGUCAAAAAUAACGAUGCAAAGCUAUCAGAGUCAUAAAAAUACCGUUCUGGGGUCCCUUUCACAAAAGUCAAAGUUUGGUCAACAUAAUCAACUUAGGCUUUUAACCCAAAAAUCAAAGUGUCUAAAUUAACCCAAAACCUUCACAGAACGAAACCAAUCAACCCCGUAAGUCAUAAAACAAAAAUUACACAUGUGUGAAGCAUCAAAAGGGAAAACGGGGCUCGAAUACACAAAACGAACAGUCGGGUCGCUGCAUUCUCCCCCAUUUAAAACUAACGUUCAUCCUCGAACAUGAAUAAAGACAUACUUGAAGUGACAAAAAGGCGAGGAUAACAACUCCACUUGUCGUUCUCAGUCUCCCAGGUCACCUCCUCGGACGGAUGACUCCUCCAUUAAACCUUCACUGAAGCAUUAUUCUUUGAUUUCAACUUCCAGACAUGUCCGUCCAAGAUAGCCACCGACUCCUCAAUAUAAGUCAAAUUCUUGUCCAAUUGGACUGAGCUGAAGUCCAAAGUAUGGGACGGAUAACCAUAAUACUUCUGGGGAAUAGAAAAAUGGAACACCAGGUGAACUGCCGAUAAGCUAGGUGGCAAUGCAUGCUUGUAGGACAGCUCACCAACUCUCUCAAGGAUCUCAAAAGGGCCGAUCUACCUAGGGCUCAACUUGCCCUUCUUCUCGAACCUCAUCAUACCAUUCAUAGGUUCAACCCGGAGCAAAACCCUCCCUCCAACCAUAAAUGCUACAUCACAAACCUUCUGAUCAACGUAACGCUUUUGCCUAGACUACGCUGUACGAAGCCGAUCCUGAAUAAUCUUAACUUUCUCAAAGGCCUCUCGAACCAAAUCGGUGCCCAACAAGCUAGCCUCUCUCAGUACGAACCAACCAACUUGAGAAUGGCACUGUCUCCCAUAUAGGGCCUCAUAAGGAGUUAUAUGAAUACUCUAUUGGUAGCUGUUGUUGUAGGCGAACUCUACAAUUGGCAAUAAAUGAUCCCAACAACCCCCGAAAUCCAUAACACAGGAACAAAGCAUAUCCUAUAAUAUCUUAAUAGUGCGCUCGGACUAUCCAUCUAUUUGGGGGUGAAAUAUUGUAAUCAACUCAAUCCGUGUGCCUAACACGCGCUACGCAGCUCUCCAAAACUGUGAUGUGAAUUGCGUACCUCGAUCGAAGUUAAUGGAUACUGGCACACCAUGGAGACUAACAAUCUCACGGACAUAGAUAUGAGCUAGCUGCCUUAAAGAAUAGGUGGUCACCACCGUAAUGAAAUGAGCCGACUUGAUCAACCUGUCCACAAUCACCCAUACAACGUCAAAUUUCUUCAAAGUCCGUGGGAGCCCAACAACGAAGUUCAUGGUAACACGCUCCCACUUUCACUCAGGAAUCUCAAGUCUAUGAAGCAAGCCUCUUGGCCUCUGAUGCUCAUACUUCGCCUGCUGACAAUUUAGGCAUCGAUACACAUACACCACUAUGUAUUUAUUUAUUCUCCUCCACCAAUAGUGCUGCCACAAAUCUUGACACAUCUUUGCGGCACCCGAAUGAAUGGAUUAUCACGAACUAUGGGCCUCCUCAAGGAUCAACUCAUGUAAUCCAUCAAUAUUUGGCACACAUACUGGCCCUACAUCUACAACACAUUGUCAUAUUCGAUUGAAAGCUUCUUUGCAUCGCCAUUCUGUACCGUAUCAUUAAGUACAAGCAAAUGGGGUCAUCAUACAGACGCUCUCUGAUGCGCUCAUAUAAAGUACAUUGAGAAAACACGCAAGCAAGAAUCCGACCGGGCUCUAAAACAUCCAGUCUCACAAACUGAUUAGCCAAGGCCUAAAUAUCUAUGGUUAAUGGCCUCUCUGCUACUUGUAGCUACACCAAACUGCCCAAACUCUCCGCCUUUCUACUCAAGGCAUUGGCCAGCACGUUGGUCUCCCGGUAUGAUACAGAAUAAUGAUAUCAUAGUCUUUAAGCAACUCCAACCAUCUUCGCAGCCUAAAAUUAAGAUCUUUUUGCUUGAAUACAUGCUAGAGACUCCAGUGGUCGGUAUAGACCUGACAUGGAACACCGUACAAGCAGUGCCUCCAAAUCUUCAAUGCAUGAACAAUAGCUACCAAUUCGAAGUCGUGCACCAGAUAAUUCUUCUCAAGGACCUUCAACUACCGAGAUGCAUGGCAAUCACCCUACUGUCUUGCAUCAACACCACGCCAAGCCCAAUAAGUGAUGCAUCAUAAUACAUAGUGUAAGACCCUGAACCCGUAGGAAACACCAACAGUUGGACUAUCGUCAAAGUAGUCUUCAGGUUUUGAAAGCUCGCCUCAUACUCCUCGGACCAUCUAAAAGGAGCACUCUUCUGGGUCAAUCUACUCAUAGGUGCAACAAUGGAUGAGAUACCCUCUUUAAAACGGUGAUAAUACCCGGCCAAACCAAGGAAGCUCUAAAUCUCAAUAGCUGAAAGUGGUCAGGGCCAACUCUGAAGUGCUUUAAUCUUCUUCGGAUCUAACCUUGAUCCCCUAACUAGAAACCACAUGACCCAAAAAUGCCACCAAAUCAAGCCAGAAUUAACACUUUGAAAAUUUUACAUAUAACAUCUUCUUUCUCAAGGUCUGGAGCACGAUUCUCAGAUGCUGCUCAUGAUCCUCCCGACUGCGAGAGUAGACCAAGAUGUCAUCAAUAAACACAAUGAUGAAGGAAUCAAAAUAUGGCUGAAAUACACUAUUCAUUAGGUGCAUAAAUGAUGUUGGAGAAUUGGUCAGCCUAAAUGACAUCACAAGAAACUUGUAGUGACCAUACCGAGUCCUAAAAGUAGUUUUCGGAAUAUCCAGAUCCCGAAUCUUCAGCUGAUGAUACCUGACCUCAAAUCAAUCUUUGAGAACACUCUAGCACAUUGUAUCUGGUUAAAUAAGUCAUAAAUACGUAGUAAUGGGUACUUGUUUGUCACGAUCCAAACCUAUGGGCCGCAACGAGCACUCGGUACCUUACUUAACCGAGUACUAACAUAACAUAUUUUUCUUAUUGUACUUUCGUUGGAAAAUAGGCCAAACGGGUUGUCAUGGGCUAACCAGAAUAAACAUAGAGGAAUAUUCAAUAUAGGACGACCCCAACCUGAUAUAAAAACUUAUACAUGUGAUAUACGGGCCUAUAAGGCCAAUAUGAUCAUUUGUAAACUCAAAACAUAGGCCGGAAAGGCCAUACAAGAAUUCUUAUACAUGACAUCUAUCUACAAGUCUCUAAGAGUACAUACUUAUCACAAAGGUCGGGGCAGGGCUCCGCCAUAUCAAACAAUACACGUCUAAAUCAUACUGACCAAACAAGCAACUCCAGAGCAAAUGGAGCGCACCUACAUCUUCCGCUGAUCUAAUUGCCUACUCUGAGGACUCUCGACCUAUCUAUCGGAACCUGCGGGCAUGAAACGCAGCAUCCUCGGGCAAAAGGGACGUCAGUACGAAUAAUGUAUCGAGUAUAUAAGGCACAUAAAUAAGUACAUAACAGACAUGGAAAAGAUAUAGAGUACAUGACUCAACCUGUAAGUCGGGAUAACUCUGUAAAUCAUGAAAUAAUAAUAGUGUCAUGCAUAUGCUUAUGAAUGACAUAUCGUGUAUCGGUACAUGUUUCAUAACAUCAUCGGCCUCUGAGGGUAUCCCAUUAUAUCAUCUCGACCACUGUGGGUAAAAUCAUCAACGUAUACCAGCUGAUCGGGUGGUGGUGCGUAUAUAACGUCAUAACCUUUCCCAUAUCCCAUAUACAUAUAUAUACAUAUAUAUACGCGUAUAUAACGCCAUCUGGUCAUGGGUCAAUGUGCAUGUAUAAAUGUAUGAAAUGCAUAUGAAAUACGUUAAUAAAAUCUCUCAGUACUUCAUAAGACCUUUAUAUCUCUGAUUAAUAUCAUGGAAUAAAUUUUACCAACUUAUGUAUUUUUGAGACCCAUGAACAGAAGAUAAAAUAAUGUGACACGUGGGGAAUCAAGAACAUAAGCAUCUCUAAUAUUUCUAUGAAUAGAGUCAUGUAUGAAAAUUGUGCAUUUUCUCAUUUCGUUUGUGUCGUAUGGAUCGUGCCAAAAGAAAUAAGGAAUAGCCUUAACAUACCUUGAGUAGGAAAAAAUUCGUAUGAUAUCUUUGAAAAAGGUUGCACCGCAAAAUUUUACGUUGCAACGGUUUUAACAAUUCUCGUUCGAAUUGUUUGGUUGCAAGAAGUUUGGUUGAAAUCUUGUAAGAAUUGCUUGAAGAUCCUGUCUUGCAUAAGACUUACGUUUGAGACAAAUGUUUGUAACGUACAAACACUCACGUUUUUUGAAUGCACAUAGAAAUGGAUUUGUGACUUUAUUGAAUUGGAGAAAUCUUCUAAAGCUUUUUACUAAAGAACGUUACCCCUUUUAUAUACUUUGUGAAUUUAGAGCUUUUUAUGGCUUAGCCAAGAAUUUCUUUCAAAGUGACACCUAGCAAGGUUAUCUAAGAGUCACUUAAAGACUCUUAUGUUGCUGCCAUGUUUUGGGAGGAUAUCCUUAUCCAAUAAUUAACCAUUAAUCCUCUUACUUAAUUGUUAAUCUCCCAUUAUCAAAUAAUUCACAUAACUAGGAAUUAUCUCCAACUACUUAAAAUACUACCCACUUUUAAUACCCUCUGUACACCUUACUAUCAUGGUCAUGUGGUACCUUGUAUGUCACUAGUCCAUAAAUACUGGGUAUUUUAGCUCGGGCCGUAUUUUAGUCCAACCUGACAAACUUUGACGAAAUUCAUUUUUUUCAAUUUACUUACCCUCUCACCUUCACGAAUUUACUCAUCACUUAUUUGAAAUAGCAUAAUACUUAUAAUCCCAAAAUAAUCUCAUUCCCAAACUUACACCGAUUAACUUACGACGAAACUUUAACGUACAAAAACAUGGGGUGUAACAUCAUUCCCCCCCUUGGAACAUUCGUCCUCGAAUGUUGACUGAUGCACUUAUCAUUAUCAUAGCCUAUAGUCCUUGUGAGUACUUUAGUACUCUCCUUGCCAUCUUAGGCAGUUGUUCUCUGAAUAAAUCCAAAGUCUAGGGUAUUCCCACCUGUAGGUCUCUUUCUUACACUACGGCCUGUGGUCGGGAUUCUUCCAAUCUCGUAACUCUUGCUACCUUCUGUCAUGUAGCUUGUACGACUUUUUCCUUGUAAGUACGCCUAUGCAACUCUUCUUCUUCUUUUUUUUCCUCCAACUUUUACCCAAUCUCUAGGCUUCACUUCGUAAACAUAUACAGAGCUUGAUAAGAUGUCCCUCUAGGCAUCUAUGGAUACACCGAAAUUCUUCGUUCGGUACUUUGUUGAACUCACGAAUAUUGCUAUACCUUAUUUCGUUUAUCCAUCCGUAUGACUUUACUGUACCUAGGUAGGUCAUAUUAUGCCAUAACCCUUACCUCGAUUUAUCGUUACUGAGGGCUGCUACGGAACUCCAGGUUACUUUCAUUGCUUAUCCCAUAUGUAUAAAUCUAAGUCAUUUAAAGCUUCCUCAUUAUUGUUCAUCUUAUGAAUGGUGGCCUAAUCUUAUCUCAUACUUUGUGACUUUUGUCCAUCCAUUGUUAAUUCACCUCAAUAUUAAUUUACAAUAUACUACUGAUAACUUGAAACUUCUUACGUCAUACCUUGCCACUAGGGCUUACAUUGCAUUGAGGAAUAUUUGAAGUGAUUUUCCUGAUCCACUUAGGGGUGAUACUGUACAUCAAUAACCGUAUUUUAUAGCAUCCCAAUGCAAUUCACUUACGUGGGUAUUUUAAUCUCUUACAAUCCAUGAAAUCCUCUUCAAAUCUUUACUCACUCGAAGGCCUAAACAUCAUCCUUUAUCCAUCACAAUUACACCCCCAUUGUACUAUCAGGGCAGUAUUCCAUCUCUUUCAAACGCUAUUAGUCUUAGACUCCCUUGUGUUUAUUCAGGCUAUACUAAACUUGCUAUAAUAUAGAGAGAUCAUUAGCUCUUUUAUUUUCACGGGCUAAAUCCCGAGAACUUACUUGUUUCUCGUCACCUCCUCAUUCGCCCUUUCUUAUCCUUAUUCCUGUCUUUCUAAAACCUUAUUGCAUUACCAUACUUUAGCUUGCGUCCUACGUAUAUCUAUUUAUACUACUCGCAACCUUCCUUCAACUUGCUUGCAUCAUAGAUUUCCUUGUGUUAUUCUGGAGUUCAAGCGCGACAUCACAUCGUCUCUAACUCCUCUUUACUUUCUUAAUUAGCCUCCUCGAUACCUGGAAACCAUAGGCUGGAAGACAUGCCACUGACGACGCCGCUAUCAUUCUUGGAUACUGAAUCCCCAUGCUUUUAACUUUAUAUCCCAAGUAUGGACUAUUCAUAACCUCAUACAUUUGAGUAUCGCUUACGUUGUUCACCUUUACCUUACUUACCUUAAAAUCUUGCAUCACGUCUUGUAUCUCUUUCAUGACCUUCCUUCCACAUAGGAAUAAUUCACAUCCAUAACUUGAGGCUUUAUUAUAAUACUUGCACCUCUGGUGUAUACAUAAUCCGGUGAGAGCUUCAUAAUAACUUCUUAUGAGGUUGGUACUUUUCUAAACGACUUUAUCGUAGGGCCGUUAUAGAAUAUGGUUAUUGUACUAUCUCUCUUGCACCUCUGAUAUUAAGAGUGAUUCUGCAGUGUUCUUAAUCACGAUGUCCAUAAUUUCAUGGGUCCAAUAAUCAAACUCUUGAUUUAUUUGGGUGAUGUAAUUCUUUAUUUUCCUCUUCCUUCUGAUCCGCCUUCAUGUAGGCUCCAACUAUCUUCCGAUAUGUGGCUCCUGGGAUUAGUUAUUACCUUAUCCUUUCAUGGGCGCUAUAGACUAUCCAUGACAUAAUCUUCUAUCAAUUCCAUCCUUUGUCUAUGCCGUGGGCUCAAUUCCUUUUUUUUACUCAUACCAGAGUCUUUUACGGCUGAUCAUUAAUCGAAUAAUUCCUUUCGUUCUAUUUGAACUUUCUUCAGAUGUAAGCAAUUGCUUCUCCUGCUCUUUUUGCCCCCUUUUUGCAUGCAUACUUAGCUUAUCUGAGUUCUCACGCAUGCCGAAAUGUUUUUUUUUGUGCAACUCAUAUGGUCUCGAAUAUUACUUUUGGUUUUACUCCUCGCUCAUUAGCCAUGGUAGGUGCCACUUUCUUUUGGAGUGCAUACAAUUUUGUAGUGAGACUAUUGUUACACAACCAUUUCCUCCUUAGGUUACUGAGCUUAGGUUGAAGACUUCUUCCUUACUUCCUCAAUUAGUCUUUCAUUGUAGUAUUUAGGGAGGAUCCUCUGACUCUUGUAAAGCUGUGAGCUUAUUACAUUGUACACUUGAUGGACCUUUUGAUGUUCUUCCUUUCCUAUAAUUAUCUGUAGUUAUUUACUUCCACCCCCUUGUGCUUGUAGGGUUGCUUCUGAACUUGAUAUUUUGACUGACUUCCCAGUGGCACUCUCUUUUAUUUCCGUAACACUCAUAUGGUACCUUUAACUAUCCCAACUCCUAUCUAAAUAUUUCUCAAUGAUCACAAUGUCAUAACUGCGAGGCUGAAUUUACUAUAUUGGGUUUUACUAUGUUUAUCUUACACGAUCUGCUGACUCGUCUGUAAACUCCUAUUUAGCCAUCACUAGGCUCUUCCUGAUCAAUUACUAACUACUCGUUGGUACAUUCUCAUAUCCAUAUUUCGCAUAAUCUUUCUUGGGUUAUUUCUUUUGUCUUAACUUACUAUUUAUCAAAAACAUCCCGGGCAGGGACCCAUACUUCCUUUCCUUGACAUCGUGUUUGCAUAGUGUUCUUGAUUCGUAGCAUAUAUGUAGGCUUUGAAUAAAUGCAAUCUCGUCCCUUUUCUCCAUCCACUGACUCUUCUCGUUGCUUAACAUUAUUUCUCUACUAGGGACGGGAGCCAUAUUAAGAUAAUAUUUAUCCUUUCCAGGCUUCCAAUGCCUAUCUUUGUAAUACUCAUAUCUAAUUGUACUAUUUUAGAGUGCACCAUCUGGAUGUCUUAUAAGGAGAUAUAUCGGCACAUUAUCCUUCGGAAAUGUCAACUAACGCAAAUAAUCCAUCCACUAUUUUGGGUUACUCUAACCCCAGUCGGAUCCUGAUACCCGUCCUUCUCUUAUACCAUAUAUUAUAGCUCCUAUAGGGCAUAACUGAGAUCAGUGUAGCCAAUGGUACAUACCUCUGUUACUGUUGAAGAUAACUCAAAAGGCUUAUAUUUCUCUACCUGAGUUGUAAAUACUGUUAUUCUUCAUUAACUGGGCGCCUCGUACCCUUAUUCAUCUUUCUUCUUUUACUUGUUGAAACUUAUACCUUCUGAUUCUUUCAUUGCUUUUUACCAUAAGAGUGGAUAUGCAUUCUUGCCUUAGGGAUCCUUAUCAAGAAGCUUACACAUCUUAGUAUAUACAUGAUCUGCUAAAUACCUCAUCUUUAUCCAUCAUAAGCAUGAGGCAAAAAUUGAGUUCCUCUGACUCAACUCUUCCAUAGCUAUAUCCCUUACCAAUCGUCUUUCUGGAUGUAGGAAUCAUCGUAUUAUGAAUAAGAUAGAGUUUAGAAAAUUGAGUUCUUACAACUGGUCUCUACCACACGAUCUAGAGUAAGAAGAAAGAGUGACAAUCCUAAAUGCCUUGUAGCCUCAUGCUUAUAAGUCUGGUGCACUACACACCCAUAAACAAGACUCUACUAGACACGGCUCGUAGACUCUCUAGGACAGAACUACUCUGAUACCACUUUUGUCACGACCUAAACCUAUGGGCCGCAACGAGCAAUCGGUACCUUACUUAACCGAGUACGAAUAUAACAUAUUUUUCUUAUUGUACUUUCGUUGGCAAAUGGGCCAACCGGCCGUCAUGGGCUAACCAGAAUAAACAUAGAGGAAUACUCAAUAUAGGAUGACCCCAACCUGAUAUAAAAACUUAUACAUGUGAUAUACGGGCCUAUAAGGCCAACAUGAUCAUUUGUAAACUCAAAACAUAGGCCGGCAAGGCCAU
rnacentral:lncRNA from 1 species